GAACUGCGGUACGUAGUGUGAAUUGCAGAUGUCUGUGAAUCAUCGAGGUUUUGAACGCAAGUGGCGCUGCCAAAAGCAGCAUACUUGUUCGAGUGUUGGUAACAACAAGAAUCACCAAAAGAGAAACUCGUUUCUCUUUUGUUGGAUUUGAAGAGUCCCUCGCCCCCUUCUUUUUUGAGGGCCGGCCGUGGUCCUUCGAAGA
rnacentral:misc_RNA from 1 species